rnacentral:rRNA from 1 species
CCUACGGGGGGCGGCAGUGAGGAAUAUUGCGCAAUGGGGGCAACCCUGACGCAGCAACGCCGCGUGAGUGAGGAAGGUUUUCGGAUCGUAAAGCUCUGUCGGGUGGGAAGAAAUGUGCGGAGGUUAAUAGCCUUUGUACUUGACGGUACCGCCAAAGGAAGCACCGGCUAACUCCGUGCCAGCAGCCCCGGUC